GUUCAAGUGAUUCUCCUGCCUCAGCCUCCCAAGUAGCUGGGACUACAGGCGUCUGCAACCACACCUGGCUGAUUUUUGUAUUUUUAGUAGAGAUGGGGUUUUACCAUAUUGGUCAGGCUGGUCUCAAAUUCCUGACGUCAGGUGACCCACCUGCCUUGGCCUCUCAAAAUGUUGGGAUUACAGGUGUUAGCCACUGUGCCUGGCCUGUAUUGUAUUUUAAUAGGUGAUUAUUGGUUUUCAUAUUAAGAUAGUGAAAUCUAGCGCAAGGAUCUCAAAAAUUUGUUUGAUGAUUGAAGGAAUAUUCUGAAAAUUACCUAGUAUAGAUGUUAGGAUAAAGAGCAGACCCUUUUCAAUAUAGGUGAGAGGAGAAGUUGGAGGGUGUGAUGAUACUCAAAAGUUUUUCACUGAAGAGAAAUUGGGGCGUGCAGUAAACAUGUAAAAAGAUUCUUACUAAUAAGCAGGUGGAUGCAAAUGAAAAUCAUCAUGGAAGGUUAUUUUUAAAACUGAUUGUAUCAUUGCCUCACUUUAUAUAUUACAGAGUUAUACAUACUACUUUGUAAGAUAACUUUUCUUUUCAAAACUGAAGUCAAUGUGAUAGAAUGGUGAGCAUUAUUUUGGAAGGCCAGACUAGGAGGAGGUGGGAGGAAGAAGUCAGACUCAGCCUGUGAACAGACGCUAACCUUGGCAGAAGCCAAAACAGUCAGACAGUGUUGUGUAAAAAUGAUCAUUCAAGAAGAGCGAAACAGCAAGGUGAUUUGUGAAAGAGAUUUAUUAGAAAAUGAAACACAUUUAUACCUCUGUUCAAUAAAAAUCUGCUUUUCGUCAA
rnacentral:lncRNA from 1 species